rnacentral:rRNA from 1 species
AACGGGUGAGUAACACGUGGGUAACCUGCCCAUCAGAAGGGGAUAACACUUGGAAACAGGUGCUAAUACCGUAUAACAAUCAAAACCGCAUGGUUUUGAUUUGAAAGGCGCUUUCGGGUGUCGCUGAUGGAUGGACCCGCGGUGCAUUAGCUAGUUGGUGAGGUAACGGCUCACCAAGGCCACGAUGCAUAGCCGACCUGAGAGGGUGAUCGGCCACAUUGGGACUGAGACACGGCCCAAACUCCUACGGGAGGCAGCAGUAGGGAAUCUUCGGCAAUGGACGAAAGUCUGACCGAGCAACGCCGCGUGAGUGAAGAAGGUUUUCGGAUCGUAAAACUCUGUUGUUAGAGAAGAACAAGGAUGAGAGUAACUGUUCAUCCCCUGUUGACGGUAACGUCUAACCAGAAAGCCACGGCUAACUACGUGCCAGCAGCCGCGGUAAUACGUAGGUGGCAAGCGUUGUCCGGAUUUAUUGGGCGUAAAGCGAGCGCAGGCGGUUUCUUAAGUCUGAUGUGAAAGCCCCCGGCUCAACCGGGGAGGGUCAUUGGAAACUGGGAGACUUGAGUGCAGAAGAGGAGAGUGGAAUUCCAUGUGUAGCGGUGAAAUGCGUAGAUAUAUGGAGGAACACCAGUGGCGAAGGCGGCUCUCUGGUCUGUAACUGACGCUGAGGCUCGAAAGCGUGGGGAGCAAACAGGAUUAGAUACCCUGGUAGUCCACGCCGUAAACGAUGAGUGCUAAGUGUUGGAGGGUUUCCGCCCUUCAGUGCUGCAGCUAACGCAUUAAGCACUCCGCCUGGGGAAGUACGACCGCAAGGUUGAAACUCAAAGGAAUUGACGGGGGCCCGCACAAGCGGUGGAGCAUGUGGUUUAAUUCGAAGCAACGCGAAGAACCUUACCAGGUCUUGACAUCCUUUGACCACUCUAGAGAUAGAGCUUCCCUUCGGGGGCAAAGUGACAGGUGGUGCAUGGUUGUCGUCAGCUCGUGUCGUGAGAUGUUGGGUUAAGUCCCGCAACGAGCGCAACCCUUAUUGUUAGUUGCCAUCAUUCAGUUGGGCACUCUAGCAAGACUGCCGGUGACAAACCGGAGGAAGGUGGGGAUGACGUCAAAUCAUCAUGCCCCUUAUGACCUGGGCUACACACGUGCUACAAUGGGAAGUACAACGAGUCGCGAAGUCGCGAGGCUAAGAUAAUCUCUUAAAGCUUCUCUCAGUUCGGAUUGUAGGCUGCAACUCGCCUACAUGAAGCCGGAAUCGCUAGUAAUCGCGGAUCAGCACGCCGCGGUGAAUACGUUCCCGGGCCUUGUACACACCGCCC